AGAGUUUGAUCCUGGCUCAGGAUGAACGCUAGCGACAGGCUUAACACAUGCAAGUCGAGGGGCAGCAGGGGAGUAGCAAUACUCCCGCUGGCGACCGGCGCACGGGUGAGUAACACGUAUGCAACCUGCCCUUGUCAGGGGGAUAAGCGGAAGAAAUUCCGUCUAAUACCGCAUAAUGCUGCGGGGAGACAUCUCCCUGCAGCCAAAGAUUUAUCGGACAAGGAUGGGCAUGCGGCGCAUUAGCUGGUUGGCGGGGUAACGGCCCACCAAGGCGACGAUGCGUAGGGGUUCUGAGAGGAAGGUCCCCCACACUGGUACUGAGACACGGACCAGACUCCUACGGGAGGCAGCAGUGAGGAAUAUUGGUCAAUGGCCGGGAGGCUGAACCAGCCAAGUCGCGUGAGGGAAGACGGUCCUAUGGAUUGUAAACCUCUUUUGUCAGGGAGCAAAAACUGCCACGCGUGGCAGGAUGAGAGUACCUGAAGAAAAAGCAUCGGCUAACUCCGUGCCAGCAGCCGCGGUAAUACGGAGGAUGCGAGCGUUAUCCGGAUUUAUUGGGUUUAAAGGGUGCGUAGGCGGACAGUUAAGUCAGCGGUAAAAUUGAGAGGCUCAACCUCUUCCCGCCGUUGAAACUGAUUGUCUUGAGUGGGCGAGAAGUAUGCGGAAUGCGUGGUGUAGCGGUGAAAUGCAUAGAUAUCACGCAGAACUCCGAUUGCGAAGGCAGCAUACCGGCGCCCAACUGACGCUGAAGCACGAAAGCGUGGGUAUCGAACAGGAUUAGAUACCCUGGUAGUCCACGCAGUAAACGAUGAAUACUAAUUGUUCGGGUCAAAUGAGAUCUGAGUGAUACAGCGAAAGCGUUAAGUAUUCCACCUGGGGAGUACGCCGGCAACGGUGAAACUCAAAGGAAUUGACGGGGGCCCGCACAAGCGGAGGAACUUGUGGUUUAAUUCGAUGAUACGCGAGGAACCUUACCCGGGCUCAAACGACACAGGAAUGAUCUGAGAAAUCAGGCAGUCCUCCGGGACCUGUGUCGAGGUGCUGCAUGGUUGUCGUCAGCUCGUGCCGUGAGGUGUCGGCUUAAGUGCCAUAACGAGCGCAACCCCCAUCGACAGUUGCCAGCAGGUGAAGCUGGGCACUCUGUCGAGACUGCCGGCGCAAGCUGUGAGGAAGGCGGGGAUGACGUCAAAUCAGCACGGCCCUUACGUCCGGGGCGACACACGUGUUACAAUGGCAGGUACGGCGGGAAGCCACCUGGCGACAGGGAGCGGAACCCGAAAGCCUGUCUCAGUUCGGAUUGGAGUCUGCAACUCGACUCCAUGAAGCUGGAUUCGCUAGUAAUCGCGCAUCAGCCACGGCGCGGUGAAUACGUUACCGGGCCUUGCACUCACCGCCCGUCA
rnacentral:rRNA from 1 species